CAAGAACCAGUGCUGGUAAAACUGUGGUCUUGUGUGGUUUUCCAUACCGGCUCUCGGCGAGGAUUUUCAAGAAAGGAAUACCAUCUCCAAAUCAUGAUGUGCCAAUAAGCUCCAGUUAGCUGCGGCCUUUUCCCCAGGCGGUAGUCCUGCAAUCUGAAUCCAGGAGAUGCAGCUCUGAAUCCAAUAUUUCAGAAGAAUGAAGAUGAAGCAGACCCAGGAGGAACUGUCUGUUGAAGAACCCCCCCCCCCACCAAGCUGCCCACCAGAGGCCAAGCUGUACUUGGUGUUUGCCAACAUCCUGUAAUUU